rnacentral:pre_miRNA from 1 species
CAUGCACCAGUGGGGUCCCUCAGCCUGGCCUGUGGGAUCAGGCCAAAACCGGCUCUCCAGACAUCCCCCAAGGGGUCCCAUAUUGGGACGCAGGCCAGGCUGAGGGACCCCACCGGUGCACA